rnacentral:rRNA from 1 species
CCAAUCGAACUCGGAGAUAGCUGGUUCUCCCCGAAAUAGCUUUAGGGCUAGCCUCGAUUUAGAUUACCGGGGGUAGAGCACUGAAUGGGCUAGGGGGCCACAAAGCUUACCGAACCCUAUCAAACUUCGAAUACCGGAUAAUUGAUGAUCGGGAGUCAGACAGUGUGAGAUAAGUUUCAUUGUCGAAAGGGAAACAGCCCAGAUCUACGACUAAGGUCCCAAAGUUCAAGUUAAGUGGAAAAGGAUGUGCAAUUGCGCAGACAACCAGGAUGUUGGCUUAGUAGCAGCCAUUCAUUCAAAGAGUGCGUAAUAGCUCACUGGUCGAGUGAUUGUGCGCCGAAAAUGUAACGGGGCUAAACUUGACACCGAAGUCUAGGCAGAAGGAAACUUCUGGGUAGGGGAGCAACGUGUACGGGCAGAAGCAGAAGCGGAAGCGACUGUGGACUGUACAGGAGAGAGAAUGCCGGCAUGAGUAGCGAGAGCAAAGUGAGAAUCUUUGCCGUCGAAAGCCUAAGGUUUCCUGAGGAAGGCUCGUCCUCUCAGGGUAAGUCGGGACCUAAGCCGAGGACAAUAGUCGUAGGCGAUGGACAAUCGGUUAAUAUUCCGAUACCGCCGAGCAACCGGAUGCAGUGACACAGAAGGAUAGGCAGAGCGUGGCGAUGGUAGACCACGUCCAAGCAGUGAGGCUGUUGUGUAGUGAAGUACGCACAACGUAAGGCUGGGCUGUGAUGGGGAACGAUUACGAUCGGUAAGCUGCUGAAUUCACGCUGGCGAGAAAAGCUGCUACGAAGCGAAGGCGCCCGUACCGCAAACCGACACAGGUAGGCGAGGAGAGAAUCCUAAGACGAGCGGGAGAACCCUUGUUAAGGAACUCGGCAAAAUGACUCCGUAACUUAGGGAGAAGGAGUGCCCAGGAAUGGGCCGCAGAGAAUAGACCCAAGCGACUGUUUACCAAAAACACAGGUCUGUGCGAAGUAGAGAUACGACGUAUACGGGCUGACACCUGCCCAGUGCCGGAAGGUUAAGGGGAAAUGUUAGGGCAACCGAAGCAUGGAACUUAAGCCCCGGUGAACGGCGGCCGUAACUAUAACGGUCCUAAGGUAGCGAAAUUCCUUGUCGGGUAAGUUCCGACCCGCACGAAUGGAGUAACGAUUUGGGCACUGUCUCAACAGGGGGCCCGGCGAAAUUGUAGUAUACGUGAAGAUGCGUAUUAACCCGCGACUGGACGGAAAGACCCCGUAGAGCUUUACUGUAACUUGAUAUUGAGUCUCGGCAAUUGAUGCACAGAAUAGGUGGGAGACUGAGAAGUGCGGGUUUCGGCCUGCAUGGAGUCAACUUUGGGAUACCACUCUUCGAUUGCUGAGGUUCUAACCGAGGCCCGUGAAACCGGGAACGGGACAGUGUCAGGUGGGCAGUUUGACUGGGGCGGUCGCCUCCUAAAAAGUAACGGAGGCGCCCAAAGGUUCCCUCAGAAUGGUUGGAAAUCAUUCAUCGAGUGUAAAGGCAGAAGGGAGCUUGACUGUGAGACAGACAUGUCGAACAGAUGCGAAAGCAGGGCUUAGUGAUCAGGUGGUAUGAGAAUGGAAUUGCCAUCGCUUAACGGAUAAAAGUUACCUCGGGGAUAACAGGCUUAUCUCCCCCAAGAGUUCACAUCGACGGGGAGGUUUGGCACCUCGAUGUCGGCUCAUCACAUCCUGGAGCGGAAGUACGUUCCAAGGGUUGGGCUGUUCGCCCAUUAAAGUGGUACGCGAGCUGGGUUCAGAACGUCGUGAGACAGUUCGGUCCUUAUCUGUCGCAGGCGGAGGAUAUUUGAAGGGAGUUGGCCCUAGUACGAGAGGACCAGGCUGAACGAACCGCUGGUGCACCAGUUGUCAUACCAAUGGCACAGCUGGGUAGCUAAGUUCGGAAGGGAUAAACGCUGAAAGCAUCUAAGUGUGAAGCCCACCCUAAGAUAAGAUAUCCCAUACCGUAAGGUAGUAAGAUUCCACGUAGACUAUGUGGUUGAUAGGUUGGAGGUGUAAGUGCAGCAAUGCAUUAAGCUGACCAAUACUAAUAAAUCGAGGGCUUAACCAC